CUUUGUGUUUGGUGCAUCUCCGCUGCCUCCUUCCCAGUUCUGAGAAUAAGAAUUUUUCUAUUGGUAAAAGAAGAAGAAAGUGAAAGAGAGGUGGCUCCGGCUUCAGUUUCUUGUGUGUCCUGCCAGAAUAUUCUACAUAAUCAGCAGUCUGGAGGCAGGCAAUCGAGGUCAGGCAGCGUUGUCAUGACAUCAUCAAUGUCCCAGCCACUUUCCAUCCUUUGACUGUCAAACUUAACGUGUGGCUUUUGCUUUCUUGUUUAUUAUCUCAUGGUCACAAGUUGACCAUUCCACCUUCACUCUCACAUCUGUAUUUCAGAAAUCAAGAAGUAGAAAGAAAGAGGGAAAGUGAUACUUGUAUUAAAGCAAA